rnacentral:lncRNA from 1 species
UUCAAUCAGAUAAUGUACCCCACAGAACACUCAUCCUCUGCAGUUGUUGUUCCUGAUAACCUAAUGUAUCAGUUCCAAGACUGCUUGCUCCAAUGUGGAAUGUUUGAUUUGCGCUAUAAUGGUCCGUCUCACUCCUGGACAAACAAGACGCCAUCAGAUCCUAUAGGAAAAAAAUUGGAUCGCUUCCUAACCAACUACAAAACCAUCUCAGCCUAUCCCCAUGCCUAUUCCCUCUUCCUUCCUAACCUAUUCUCUGAUCAUUGUCCAUGCCUUGUUGACCUAGCCUAUACCCUCCCAACUGCUGGAACCAAACCCUAUAAAUUCCAAAAUUACCUAACUAAACACCCAAACUUUCUGGAGAUUGUUCAUGACGCAUGGGUUCAGGCCGGAAGUAUUUGCUCGACACUUUCUCAACUCUGUUGGAAACUAAAACUUAUAAAGGGAGACUUAAAAAGACUAAACAGAGACAAUUUUUCACAUAUUCAAGAGAGAGUGAGUGAUUCUUACCGUUUGUUACAACUUGUGCAGGUUCAGGCUCUAAAUAUUCCGUCAACCUUGACCUUCCAAGAAGAGAGAGAUCUUCAUGAGAAGUGGACCUUCCUGCGACAAAUAGAAGAGAGCUAUUUUAGACAGAAGUCUCGCAUAAACUGGCUCAGCGAAGGAGAUUUCAACACUACCUUCUUCCACCGGAUGUGUCAAGUCAGAGCAAGUUACAAUGCCAUUAGAUCCUUUCUCUCAAACGCUGGGGUGAUGGUUACAGACCCAAUAGAGAUGAGCAUGCUUGCGGUGGAACACUUUAAAUCAAUUUUGGGACCUCCAAACUACUCUCCCCCGUCGCUGUAUUCCUCAUUCAACUGGUUUGAUGAGUUAAUUGGGUUCCACUGCAGCCUGCAACAAUGCCAAAAAAUGCUAUCAGUCCCGACGGCAGAGGAAAUAAAAAGCCUAUUCUUUAGAUUAAAUCCAAACAAAGCCCCAGGGCCUGAUGGACUAACCUCUGGCUUCUUUAAAGCAGCAUGGGAAACUCUUGGAGAAGAAGUGGUCUCUUGCAUUACUCAGUUCUUCUCUUCAGCUUUCCUACCAGCCACUACUAACUCAACAAUUCUUACGCUGGUCCCUAAAUUCCCGGGAGCAACACAGAUCUCUGAUUUUCGCCCCAUCUCUUGUCUAAAUACGGUCUACAAGGUGAUAUCCAGACUCCUGGUUGCAAGACUAAAGCCAAUUCUUCAAGAUGUCAUCCUUCCAUGUCAAACAGCCUUCGUAAAGGAUCGCCUGCUGGUUGAAAAUACAGUAUUAGCAAGUGAAUUGGUACAUGGGUAUCACAAGAAUAAAGGGCCGAAGAGAAUCACCAUCAAAGUGGACAUUGCCAAAGCCUUUGAUACACUAUCUUGGGAGUUCCUUUUCUCUUGCUUGGACAGUAUGCAGAUUCCACACCACUUCCUCUCUCAGCUAAAGGCCUGCAUAUGUACAACAAGCUUUAUGGUUGGAUAUAAUGGUACUGUCAAUGGCUAUUUCAAAGGCAGAAGAGGGCUUAGGCAGGGUGACCCUCUCUCGCCCUAUCUAUUUGUCAUUGCUAUGAACUGUCUCUCCUUUAUGCUAAAAAAAGCGGCAUCACAAGAAGGUCUACAGUACCACCCCAACUGUGAACAUAUAAAGCUAACACACCUUUCAUUUGCGGAUGACCUCCUCAUCUUCAUUGAUGGCUCUCUUAACUCGGUACAGCAUGUUCUUAAGGUUCUCCAUGAAUUUGAGCUACGGUCAGGGCUUAAGGUCAGUAUGCAAAAG